rnacentral:rRNA from 1 species
AAAUUGAAGAGUUUGAUCAUGGCUCAGAUUGAACGCUGGCGGCAGGCCUAACACAUGCAAGUCGAGCGGUAGCACAGAGAGCUUGCUCUCGGGUGACGAGCGGCGGACGGGUGAGUAAUGUCUGGGAAACUGCCUGAUGGAGGGGGAUAACUACUGGAAACGGUAGCUAAUACCGCAUAACGUCGCAAGACCAAAGUGGGGGACCUUCGGGCCUCAUGCCAUCAGAUGUGCCCAGAUGGGAUUAGCUUGUAGGUGAGGUAACGGCUCACCUAGGCGACGAUCCCUAGCUGGUCUGAGAGGAUGACCAGCCACACUGGAACUGAGACACGGUCCAGACUCCUACGGGAGGCAGCAGUGGGGAAUAUUGCACAAUGGGCGCAAGCCUGAUGCAGCCAUGCCGCGUGUGUGAAGAAGGCCUUCGGGUUGUAAAGCACUUUCAGCGGGGAGGAAGGCGGUGAGGUUAAUAACCUCAUCGAUUGACGUUACCCGCAGAAGAAGCACCGGCUAACUCCGUGCCAGCAGCCGCGGUAAUACGGAGGGUGCAAGCGUUAAUCGGAAUUACUGGGCGUAAAGCGCACGCAGGCGGUCUGUCAAGUCGGAUGUGAAAUCCCCGGGCUCAACCUGGGAACUGCAUUCGAAACUGGCAGGCUAGAGUCUUGUAGAGGGGGGUAGAAUUCCAGGUGUAGCGGUGAAAUGCGUAGAGAUCUGGAGGAAUACCGGUGGCGAAGGCGGCCCCCUGGACAAAGACUGACGCUCAGGUGCGAAAGCGUGGGGAGCAAACAGGAUUAGAUACCCUGGUAGUCCACGCUGUAAACGAUGUCGAUUUGGAGGUUGUGCCCUUGAGGCGUGGCUUCCGGAGCUAACGCGUUAAAUCGACCGCCUGGGGAGUACGGCCGCAAGGUUAAAACUCAAAUGAAUUGACGGGGGCCCGCACAAGCGGUGGAGCAUGUGGUUUAAUUCGAUGCAACGCGAAGAACCUUACCUGGUCUUGACAUCCACAGAACUUUCCAGAGAUGGAUUGGUGCCUUCGGGAACUGUGAGACAGGUGCUGCAUGGCUGUCGUCAGCUCGUGUUGUGAAAUGUUGGGUUAAGUCCCGCAACGAGCGCAACCCUUAUCCUUUGUUGCCAGCGGUCCGGCCGGGAACUCAAAGGAGACUGCCAGUGAUAAACUGGAGGAAGGUGGGGAUGACGUCAAGUCAUCAUGGCCCUUACGACCAGGGCUACACACGUGCUACAAUGGCAUAUACAAAGAGAAGCGACCUCGCGAGAGCAAGCGGACCUCAUAAAGUAUGUCGUAGUCCGGAUUGGAGUCUGCAACUCGACUCCAUGAAGUCGGAAUCGCUAGUAAUCGUAGAUCAGAAUGCUACGGUGAAUACGUUCCCGGGCCUUGUACACACCGCCCGUCACACCAUGGGAGUGGGUUGCAAAAGAAGUAGGUAGCUUAACCUUCGGGAGGGCGCUUACCACUUUGUGAUUCAUGACUGGGGUGAAGUCGUAACAAGGUAACCGUAGGGGAACCUGCGGUUGGAUCACCUCCUUA